GUAAAAUUAAUUUGUUUUAAUUAUCAAUCUCUUUACAGUAUAUAUGCUCUAUUUCCUUUGUCUUGAUACUUUUUUUUUGUAAAGAAUACAAAUAAAAUAUUUUGAACAGAUGAUUUGUGAUAUUUAAAAAGAAUAUACAAUUUAUUUUAGCAUGACAAAGCUUUAAAAUCAUUACCAGAAAUCUUUCCCCUGUUUCAUAUUUUUACAUACUUUCAAAGUUUCUAUAUGUUAGUCCCAAUUUCUGUACAUAUCAUAUUCUGUGUAUCUAACAGAAACCUGUUACCUAUAAAAUUCCCAAGAGACCUUUUGACUAUUUGCUUACUAUUUAGUACUUGGUAUUUGAUCAGAAUUGACAAAAUUAUUAUUAAAACUGUAAGAAAGUUUCUGUUAAUGUUUGUAACUUAAAUGCAUUUAUUAGUCAUAACAAUUUGUAUUUCAAAAUAACCCAAUUCUUAGAUUUAAGAUUGUGUGUACAUAAUGGAAAAAUUACAAAACUUUUUGAAUUUUUGUCUGUAUUAAGUACAAUACUAAAAGUAGCACAAUCUUGUGCCACUUUGGUUAAUGGAAUAUAAGCUACUCUAAAAAAGUAUUAAUGAAAUUUUUGUACCUCGAUGUUCAUAUUCUCUUUUGUCACAAAAAGGUACUCUUGCUAUAAAAAAUGAUUCACUUGAUAAAGGUGCAUUUAAUAAUUUUAAAUUAUAGUAGAUACUCGUGGUAAGCACAACAUUGAUUGUCUAAUGUUUGUAGAUAUUUUUGUUUGUCAUGGAUAUUAAAUAUAUUUACACAACCUUUUCAAUUGCCCUAUACUUUAUUGCUUAACACAUGAUUUAGACAUAAAGCCAGUGUUGACACUUGGCACCUGAAAAUACUUUAAGUGUCCAAAAUCUACAAAUGCUUAUGCUAUUGUAAGAUCAAUAAAUAAGUUAAAUCUUUUUUUCUUACAUUGAUUUCAGCCAGGAGGGUUACUUUAAUUUUACUAAAUUUGUUUGUUGUAUAUAUAUAAAACAUCUGAAGCUAGAUCUUUAACACAUUGAUAUGAUGUACUGCUAAAAACAUAAAUCUUUCAAAUAAUUCCUUUCAACCUUACAGAUUUAUAACUAUACAAUAUAGACUAAAUAGCAUAUUUUUUCCUUGUAAGCCACUCAAUUACUUAAAACGUGAACUUUCUUGAAUUGUACACCGACUUAAAGUGUGUUUGAAGACCCAUAACACUAAUUGAACUUCAGAUUCCUAUAAAACAUUUUUUUUAAACUUUAAGGAAAUGCAUAAAAGCAUUGUGUAUGAAUUUUGCAAUUUAAGUACAUUUCAAACCAUUUUUCAGAUGAACUUAAGAUGCCGGGGCUGACAGAUGACCAGGGUGUCAGUCUUGUUUUGCCUAUCCUCCUUGUCACACACUGGUGGAUAUUUCUCCACUUUUGUUCCACUUUAAUAUAAAGCACACAGAUGUUUCAGAACAAGACUUGACUUCUGACCUUGAGGCUAUUAGGGUCAGGGUCCUCAGGGCCUGUGAAAUUAUCACAAGCUGAGCUAAAGUUUUUCUCCAUCGCAGGAAGUAACCAGUAAGUAAGAAGUUAAAAAGGAGCUUUGUCAGAAAGACAAGAUGGUCUCAGUGAGGGUCAGCUUCUGUAGUCUGCUAUCUCUGCAGGAGACGCAUGCAUGGGAGGAGGAAUAUAAUAUAACCACUGGCACAUCACAUAUCUGUCAAGCAACACCGGGGCUGAGAAGUCUAUUUAAUGUCAUAUACCUUGUUUAGGUUCGAAAACAUUAACGGUGAUUAACUCAGCUUAGUAUAUUUGCUACUUUUUAUGAAAUAACUGAUUAGGAUAUGUAAUGGGGCAUACAGAUGGUGAUAAAUGAAGGAAGCAGGGUUCCUGAGCUAGAAACAUAGAUUCCUCUCAGCAAAUAACAUUGUACACUGAUGAGUUUUACAUUGAUUUUUGACAACUUCUAUUUAAAUUCACCGUGUCUCAGUUUCACAGGGCUUUUUAAGAGAGUGAUGCUAAAGAGAAUACAAACAGAAGUGUUUUUAAACGUUUUGCUUUGCCUUUAAGUAAUAUUCUUUUGUAUUCUCACUGAUCUGUGUUCAUAUAUAAAAUUUGUACGUAUAUAUAUAUAUAUAUAUAUAUUUUUUUUUUUUUUUUUUUUUUUUUUAGUAUAUGUGCUGCCAAAGAGAGCACAUUUCACGGAUACUCUUCAGGGAAAAGUCAUGCUGUUUAAAAUGUUGGCAAAUAUUUAUUCACAGAUUUCUAAAACACAGUGUACAUGAAAGUUGUUUACAUGAAUUCCAAACUUUAAUAUUAGCUUUACAAGAACAUGAAUUGUAAGCAAUAUAUAAAACUUAAAUUAUGGCUUAAGUUUUUAUCUCAAUAGUGCAUUGUAUACAUCAUGCAUUAAAUGCUUUGGAUUUAAGACAUAUUUACAUUUUUUAAAUUGUCCUAAAAUUUAGUCUUAAGUAACUGUGAACACACACACACACACACACACACACACACACACACACACACACACACUGAGAAGAAUACUAGUUUGUAAUGUCAUGUUAAAUGCAUGGGAAUUGUUCCUAAGCCACCACUAUACAAGUUCACUUUCUUCAGUCAUGAAUGUCAAGAAAAUUCAUUUUAGAUGUAAAAUAAAUUACAAGUACAGUUCUACCAAUAAAUAAAAUUAGUUACAGUAUUUACUGUUUAAAAAAAGGUACUAGGCAGGAUCUAAAAUUAAAUAUGUCGAUCACUGAUUUAAAACUGGGUAUAGAUACACUUUAAAAUUAAAUGUGCUGCUAAUAGAUAUCUGAAGAUAAAUUACACUGAAAUUUAGAGCAUACAAAUUCCAUAGAGAUUUCAUAAUUUUUUAAUUAUGUCUUUGAAAACUAAGAACAAAAUUUAUGAUUAUAUUCUAUCUUAAAGUGUUGAAUUUCUCCCCAAGAAUGUAUUACUGUCAAAGAUUUAUUUUCUAAAGUAGUGUUCAUUUUAUGAUAGUAAACCUUAGAACUUGACCAAGUCUAGCCUUGUAAAAAUAGUGUACAUUAUACUGUAGUAAUGAGAAAACGAUAGUAAAAAUAUUUUUUUCUCUGCUUUUGCUUUCACUGUACCGCAGCAAUUCAGAUUUUCAAUUCCCUAACCUUUUCCUAGUAAAAGUAAAUGUUGAUAAGAUAGUUCCUCUUUGUUCUAGCAGUCAUGAACACAAAAAUAAAAAAAAAACUAUCUUAUGGGUUGAUAAAGCAGUUUUGAAAGUGAUAUAUUUUACUUUGCUGUCUUUUCUGUACAUUUAAAGUAUUUGCUAAUCUAUAAAGUUAGUUAUUAAAACCUUAAUUUUCUAUUAAAGCUUUUCUACAUGAUAGAAUUAGAAAUCAUUUAUCAAGUACAUAGGGAAAGAUCUACAAAUAACAUAGCUCACUUUUACUUUAUGUUGUUAAGAACUUAGGAUCUUUUUCUUUUGUUAAAUUAGUUAUCAUUAUAAAACUGUGCAGUUUUAAGUUGAGUCAUCAUCUCCUCUCCAUCCACUUAGAUGAAGUGAUUUCAUUGCUUCCAUUGUUUGCCAUUUUGGAGUGCUUUGUUUUUGUCUUUCCAGGUGAUGAUCAGUUUGGCAAAACUAAGAAACCUUUAAAUUUUCUUUGACUUGGAAAUGAGCUGGCUCUACUUGUCAGUGCCUGGUUACUAAUUUUGCCUCACCUUACCCUCCUGUUUGCAGCCACUCAGUUUGCAUUCAACUUCAUUCAGUAGCCAGGACAGUGGCUCACAUUUUAUGGAACAUUAAAUAUUUUAAUAAAUAACAUUCCAUCAGUUUACUGAAUAUUCCCAGCUGAUAUAAAAUUAGUGUCUUUCUGGUUACUUGUAUUCCCUUUUCCAUGUUAUUAGUGGUAUAUUAAUAGCCACCAUUAAAAACACCACUUAGAAAUGUGUGAAAACAGCUCCUUUUGAAAGCAUCUCUACUCACUUUUGAUUUUGGUUUCUCCAUGCUUGUCAGCGCUUGAUUGGCACCUCACUUGCAUGUGAAUUAAGGAAUGAAGGGAACUCUAUUUUCCUGCCAUUGUUCCAUGCUGGGCUCCCUGGCCUCCAGGCAGUCUAAGCUACCCUUGAGCAGCUGAUGGAGCACUAGUUUUUGGAGGUAGCUAUGCAAGGACACGAGACCUCAGUUUACUCUCAGUAGGUCUUUUUAAAUUGCAUACAACAUGAUUUAGAUUUACACUGAAGUAUAAGUGGGGUGGAGCUUAGGUCUAGUUUUUACCUCUAGUGACAUAGACUGUGAUCUUAAAGAGGCAUCAGUGCAUUUUUCUUGAAAUAACAAAGUAAAUAUCUGCUAAGUAUGAUCAGUGGACUGCUGGCAAUCAAGAAUUGAGGAGACAUAAAAUAAGGAACAAUAAACCAAAGAAAAACUGAGCCAUAAUUGGUAGCAAAAUAAUGCAGGUUGAAAAUACUUUUAGAAAUGUACUUUAAUCAAAGUAACUCAGUUUUAACUUUUAAUUUCUAAUAAAACUACAAGAUACAACAUAAACUCAUCUUGUUUUAAAGUUGUUUUUUUAUCUCUGACUUUACUUGCCCAAAUGAUCUAGAAACAACUUGAACAUAGUGUACUACUGUCCUCACAUUUGAGAACACCAGCUGUUACAACAUGAGUAGUCUUAAAUGUCUAUACAGUUAGUUUACCAAUGUAGAGUUUAAGCCUUAAUGAUAUCUUUUUUUACCAAUAAAUUAUUGUCUCUGAUUUUCACUUAAAUAUUGACUGGUUUGAGACUUCUAUGGGAUCAAUUCUUUCACAUUAGAUGGUGUUAUCUUUUUGUCCUAAUGAUUAUUGACUCUUCCUUCUCACUCUUCCCUUUGACUGAAAGAAAUGCUUCCCUGUAACUCAUUCUUCUAAGUAUGAUCUUUUUAAUAAAAGAAGAAUUUUUAAACUAAAUUAAAUCUUAAAAGUGUUCUCUGGCAACCUAUGGAAUAAAGCCAGAAGACAUUCUGUUUCACCCCACCCAUGAGCUUACAUCGCCUCUGACUUAGUAAUGAACGUACUUUCAGUAUUUAAGAUGUAAUUUCCAUAUUUAUUGAUAUAUAACUGAGAUCUAUUGAGCUUUAUUGAGAUAUUUAUAUGGCAUAAUAUUCAUCUUUUAAAGUGUACAAAUCAAUGAUUUUAGGAUAUCCGUGGAAUCGUACAACUAUCACCAACAUUUAAAUUUAGAUGAUGCUCCCAAGUUUGUGUGUACUAGAUUUUACAACAAGAGUAGUCUUAAAAAUAUGUAUCUUAGGGUUGAGAAUGUAGCUCAGAGGUAGAGCACUUGCCUAACAUAUACAAGGUUCAUUUCCCAGCACACUCGCGCACACACACACAAAUCUGCCUGUGGCAUUUGGUUUUGUUAGUUGAAUUAAUUUUGGGGGAUUGUGUGAGGUUGGGUCCAGUUAUGUAUAUUCAGUUGUCCCAGCACCAUUCAUUCAAAAGAUUAUUCUUUACCCUUUAGUUUGCUUUAGCACCUUUGUCAAAAUAACUGAACAUAAAUGUAAGAGUUUGCUUCUGAGCUGUAUACUGUUGAUAUAAAUUCUGUACUAUUGCUAUAUAUGCUUAGUAGCACACUGACUUGCUAAUUGUACCUUGGUACUGAGUCUAGAGAUAGCGAGUUCUCCAACUUUGUUCUUUUUCUGGUUUGCUUUGACUAUUCAGCAUCCUUUGCAUUUCCAAAUGAAAUUUACAAACAAUUUACUGACUUUGUAAAAAGCAGAAGAAACGAUGAUUUUGACUGGGAGUAAUUUAUCUGUAAAACAAUUGCUAUCUUGAUAAUACAAAGAUAUCCAGUCCAUGAACGUGGAUUAUCUUUCCAUUUAUUUAGUUCUUUUAAACAAAUUUUGUUUUCAAUAUACAAAUUUUACUGUUCUCUUGUUAAAUUUAUUCCUGAAUUGUUUCUCUUUUUGUUGUAUUGUCAGUGAAAUUGUUUCCAAGAUUAUUCAUUAGUGGUAUACAGAGAAAUGUUUAAUCUUUAUAUAUUAGCCUUGUAUCCCGUUACCUGUCAUUUAUUAGUUCAUGGUUUUAUUUGUGAAUUCCAUAGGAUUUGCUGUGUGUAAGACUAUCAUUUGUGAGUAUAGGCACUUUUUAUUUUUUCCCUUUUCAAUUUGGAUGCAUUUUACUUAUUUUGAUGAUUUUUAUUUGUUCACUCCAUUGCCUUGACUCCUAAAAGCUCCAGUAAAGAUUGAAUAAAAGAGACUAGAGUAGACAUCGUUUUCUUCUUUGUCAUUUUAAGGGAAAAGCACAUGAUAUUUCACCAAAAAGCAUAGUUAUUUUUCCAUAUAUGAUAGUUCUCCUGAGAACAUAGUGUGCUUUUGUGCUUAUAUCUUUCAAUCGUAUCAAGAUCAGAUUAUUAAAAGCCUGUAAAAUGGAGAAAAAAAGUCAGUAAUUUUUUAUAAUGAUCAUAUUGUAGACUAAAUGAUCCAUGCUGUAUCACUGGAAUUACCUUCAGAAAAGGCUUUUUCAUUGUCCACGGAAGCAAACUACUUCCAUCCUUUAUGCCCUCCCUGCAUUUGUACAGCUGAGAAAUUGGCCUCUGUCUCUUUGUUCAACAGAACUAAGUUUCUUUGUUCAAGAAACUAAGGAGCUUGGCAAAAUUAGCAUACUGUAUAUUAAGGAAAACUCAGAGAGUGAAAUACUACUUUUUAAAAUUUAAAUCAUUAAAAAUUUUUUUCUUUGAUUUUAUGAAAGAUUUCGAGGAGAGAUUUUGGACUUUACUACAGACAUGAGAAUGUGAUUAAGGUUUUAAAGUCUUUUAUAAAAACUACGAAAAAUAUUUUAACUCAUAAAGAGGCUGCUUUUACUGCUGUUAUGGCUUUAUGAGUAUUACUUAUAAGCUCUCUUCUUUUUAGAUUACACAUUGCCAUCUUAAAAAUAGUUGUUCAGGUUACAAAAUUAAAGCACACAAAGUGGACAUUCAAACAGUGAGAGUGCAAACAGUGGUGUUCAGUAAUCCAACAAAAACGUAGUAAUAUGGUUAUCUGUCUUAUACACUUAAACAUACAUGUAAUGGUUUCCUUUAAAGCAGUUUCUUUUCCUUUCUUUUUUACAAUAACAAUUGCACAUUUUGGGUUUUAUUCCUCCCACAGUUCUUAUUACUGUCUUUUUUUUGGAAGAAAAUAAAAACAAAUGUGACAAAACAAAACAGAGCCAGUCAAAACAAAGGAUGGACACAAUACAUGAUGUAAAAACAGAAUACAAGGUGAUCAACAAUGGUUACCAUAAUGCCUCUUGCUACCUUAAAAAGAAUUGCCUUUAUCAUCAGGGUAAUAAAAUUGAACAAAACAGUACAGAACAAAACCAAUAAAACCGAAACAUUGAGACAUUACAGGACUUCAAAAGAAGAUAAUAGUCAAACCAGAAUGGGCAUCAUAGUGAAUCUUACUGUCUUCAAAGUAGUUGCCUAUAUCCUCAAACUUGAUACUAUCAAACAAAACAGAAUAGAGUAAAAUCAGUCAAAACAAGAUGAUGAGAGUAAUACAGGGUUUCAAAUCAAGUUAAUAGGAAAUCAAAAAAGUUACUAUAAUAUAUGCUGCUUUUUAAAUUUUUUUCCUUAAUUAAAACAUUUUUUUUUUUAAAAAGGAGAUUGAGAUAAAAGAGGACAUAACUACAUAACAACACAAGUCAGGACAGAACAAUUUAAGCAACAUAGGGUGUUUUACCACAAGAUAAACUGACAUAAUAGUAGUUACCAUAGUGUCUCUUUUCUUGAAAUAUUUGAGUAUUACAUCAUAUACUAUAGCAUCAAACAUAUCAAGACAGUAUGAAACCAUUCAAGAGAAUAGAAGUAUUACAGGGUAUUUAGAACCAACUAACAGAAAACAAACAAAGGUUUCUAUAUUAUCUCCUUGCCUAUAAAAAUUUUUAUUUAUACUAUCACUUAUAAUAAAACCCAAUAAGAUACAACAUGAUAAAAGCAAGGGAGACAGAAGAACAAUAACUUGAUGGGACCUGAAAACAAUAUGGUAUUACAUCAGCACUAGCUACUAUGAUGUCUUGUUUUCUUCAAAAUAGCUGUUCAUACCAUCACAGACAAUAAAAUCAAACAACUCAGAAUAAAACCAUUCCAAUUAAUGAGUGAAAACAUUAUAAGGCUUCAAAGCAAUAUAAUGGGGAAUCAUGAUUACCACAUACUUUUAUGUGUUCUUAUCAUGUCUUACACUAGGGAAACUAUUCGGUGUUUAUAUAUGUGAGUUUGAUUUGUUUCACUUAUGAGUAUGGUCUGCACCCAUUUAUUUAUAAAUAUCUCAAUGUGAUCCUUCUUUAUAACUGAGUAGUACUCCAUCAUAUAAAAACGCCACAACUUUUUUAUCCAUUCCUCAGUUAAUGGACACUUAGGUUGUUUCCAAGAUCUGGCUAUUACAAAUUGUGCUGCUAUAAACAUGGGUGCACAUAAAUCACUGUGGUAUGAUGCUUUAAGUUCUUCUGGGAAUAUGCCCAAAAGUGGGAUAGCUGGAACAAAUGGGACUUCCAAUCCCAGCUUUUUGAGAAAUCUCCAGACUGACCCCCACAAUGGUUGCACCAGUGUACACUCCCAUCAACAGUGCAGGAGAGUUCCUUUUUCCCCACAGCCUCUCCAGCAUUUGUUGUUGUUGGUUUUCUUGAUCCUGGCCAUUCUUUCAGGAGUGAGAUGAAAUCUCCGUGUUGUUUUAAUUUGCAUUUCUCUAAUGAGUAAUGAUGAUGAACAUUUUUUCAUGUAUUUCUUUGCCAUUUGUAUGUCUUCAUCUGAGAAUUGUGUAUUCAUCUCAGAUGCCCAUUUUUGGAUUCACUCUAGGGGUCUGAUUUUUUUUUUAAUUCUUUAUAUGUUUUAGACAGAAGUCCUUUGUCUGAGGGACAGUUCACUAACAUUUUUUUCCCAGUUUGUGGGUUUUCUUUUCACUAUGCUGGAGAUUUCUUUUGACAUGCAGAAACUUUUUAAUAAGAGGUGAUCCCAGUUAUUGAUUCUGGGAAGUAUUUCCCAUGUGGUUUGAUUCCUGUUCAAGAAUUCUCUACCUACUCCUAUGUCUUCAAGGUUUUUACCCAAUUUGUCUUCCAAUAGAUUUAGUGUUUCUGUUUUAAUAUUUAGAUCUUUGAUCCAUUCAGAUUUUAAUUUAGUACAUGAUAAUAGGUAUGGGUCUAGUUUUAGUUUUCGGCAUAUGGAGAGCCAGUUUUUCCAACACCAUUUAUUAAAGAGACUGUUGUUCUUCCAGUGAACCUGUUUGGCCCCUUUAUCAAAGAGAGGGUGGUUGAGUGUGUUUGUAAUUGUGGUUGUAUCUUCUAAUCUAUUCCAUUGACCUUCGGUUCUGUUUUGAUUCCAGUACCAUUUUGAUUUUACUAUGGUUGCUUUGUAGUAUAACUUCAAGUCAGGGAUUGUAAUGCCUCCUGCCUUGCCGUUGCUGCUUAGAACUGUCUUUGCCAUUCUAGGUCUCUUCUUGUUCCAGAUGAAUUUUAGGAGUGAUUUGUCUAGAUCUAUGAAGUAUGUUGAUGGUAUUUUCAUUGGCAUUGCACUGAAUCUGUAUAACAGUUUUGGGAGAAUGGCCAUUUUCACAAUAUUUAUUCUUCCUAUUCAUGAGCAAGCAUGUCUUUCCAGUUUCUGAGAUCCUCUUCAAUUUCUUUGUUCAGUGUAUUAUAAUGUAUAGGUCUUUCCUGUGUAGGUCUUUCACUUCUUUCAUGAGAGUAAUUCCUAAAUGUUUCAUUUUUUGGGUUGCUAGUGUGAAGGUUGUGGCUUCUCUUAUUUGUCUGUCAGUGAUUUUGUUGAUAGUGUAUAGGAAUGCUAUUAUUUUUUCAGUAUUGAUUUUGUAUCCAGCUACAUUGCUGAAUUUAUUUAUUAUUUCUAAGAGUCUUUCAAUGGAGUUUUGGGGGUCUUGUAUGUAGAGUAUCAUGUCAUCUGCAAAUAAUGAUAAUCUUAAUUAAUUAAUCUUUUUCUUUUCCUAUUUUUACCCCUUUUAUUUCUCUCCCUUGUCUAAUUGCUCUGGCUAUUAUUUCCAGUACUAUAUCAAAUAGGAGCAAUGAUAAGGUACAUCCUUGUCUUGUGUCUGAUUUUAAAGUAAAAGCCUUCAAGUUUUUUCCAUUUAGUGUGAUACAGGCUGUUUGUUUUUCAUAGAUGGCUUUUAUUAUAUUGAGGUAAAGACCAUCUAUUCCAAUUUUCUGUAAGGUUCUUAUCAUAAAUGAGUGUUGGACCUUAUCAAAAGCUUUUCCUACAUCUAUAGAAAUGAUCAUGUGAUUCUUACUUUUGGCUUUAUUGAUAUGGUGGAUUACAUUUAUUGAUUUACGUAUGUUGGACCAUCCCUGCAUGGCUGGGAUGUAUCCCACAUGGUCAUGGUGUAUAAUCUUCUUGAUGAUUUGCUGCAUCCUAUUUCCCAAUAUUUUAUUGAGGAUUUUUGCAUCUAUGUUCAAGAUUGGUCUGUAGUUCUCUUUUUUAGUUGUGUCUUUCUCAGGUUUUGGUACUAGAGUAAUAUUUGCUUCCAGGAAUGACUUAGGAAAGAUUGCUUCCCUUUCGAUUUCAUUGAAGAGUUUGAGGAGUAUCGUCAUUAAGUCUUUUUUGUACUUCUUGUAGAAUUCUGCAGUGAAUCCAUCUGGGCCUGGGCUCUUCUUUGUAGGUAAGGACUUAAUUACAUUUUCAAUUUCAUUAAUAGAAAUUGGGUUAUUCAGCAGUUUUACAUCUUCUUGACCAAGCUUUGGUAGUUCAUAUGUUUCUAGGAAUCUGUCCAUUUCUUCUGUGUCAUCAAACCUAUGAGAGUAGAGGUUUUUGAAAUAGGAGUCAAUGAUCUUCUGGAUUUCUACAGAGUCUAUAGUGAUUUCACCUUUUUCAUUCCUUGUUGCAUGAACUUGAGCUUUUCCUUCCCUUUUUUAAUAAGGUUGGCUAGGGGCUUAUCAAUUUUAUUUAUUCUUUCAAAGAAUCAACUCCUUGAUUCGUUGAUUCUUUGGAUUGUUUUCUUAGUCUCUAUUGCAUUGAUUUCUGCUCUAAAUUUUAUAAUUCCUCUCUUCUUUUGGCUUUGGGCUUUAUUUGCUCUUCUUUUUCUAGUUGUUUGAGGUGUAACAUCUGGUUAUUUAUUUGUAUUCGUUCUGUUUUCCUAAUGGGAACUCAGUGCAAUAAAUUUUCCUCUGAGGACAGCUUUCAUUGCAUCUCACGAAUUCUGAUAAGUUGUAUUUGAAUUUUCGUUUGCUUGUAGGUAUUGUUUAAUUUCUUCUUUAAUUUCCCCUGUGACCCACUGAUUACUCAAGAGUGUGUUAUUCAGUUUCCAUGUGUUUGUGGAAUUUUUGCAGUAUCUUUUAUCGUUAAUUUCUAAUUUCAUGGCGGUAUGAUCCGAUAACAUGCAAGGGAUAAUUUCAACUUUUUUGCAUUUAUUUAAAUAUGUUCUGUGAGCUAAUAUAUGAUCUGUUUUUGAGAAUGACCCAUGUACUGCUGAGAAGAAUAUUUAUUCUGAUGUUGUUGGAUGGAGCACUCUGUAUAUGUCUAUGAAGUCCGUUUGUUCACAGGUGUAAUUCAGUUCUGUUAUUUCUUUGCUGAUUUCCUGUCUGGUUGAUCUAUCCCUUGGUAUCAGUGGUGUGUUAACAUCUCCUGUUAUAAUUGUGUUACUGCUAAUUUGGUUUUCCAUUUCUGUUAGUACUUGUUUUAUAUAACUGGGUGCUCUGGAAUUUGGUGCAUAUAUAUAUUUAAGAUAGUUAUCUCUUCCUCUUGAAGUUUUCCCCUAAUUAGUAUGUAGUGACCUUCUUUAUCUCUUCUGAUCAUUAUUGGUUUGAAAUUCAGAUUAUCUGCAAACAGAAUAGCUAUCCCCGCUUUUUUCUGGGUUCCUGUUGCAUGAAGUAUUGUUUUCCAUCCUUUGACUUUCAGUCUGUGAGUAUCCUUUUGGGUUAGAUGGGUUUCCUGUAGACAGCAUAUGGUUGGAUUUUGUUUCUUGAUCCAGUCUGCCAGUCUGUUUCUUUUAAUUGGUGCAUUGAGACCAUUUCCAUUAAUGGUAUAACUGUUAUAUGUUGGUUUAUUGUUGACAUGUUAUGUUUCUGCUGUUGCAUCUUUUUCUUUCUGUUCUGUUUAAUUGUCUGCUUUGCUUAGUGUUUUUUUUUUUUCCUAAGUGUAUCUAAACUGUCUUUCAGUAUUCUUUGCAGGCUCGGCUUGGUGAUCAUGAAGUUCUUCACCUUUGUCAUAGAAGUGUCUUAUUUCUCCAUCUAUUUUGAAGGACAGUUUUUCAGGGUACAUCAGUCUAGGUUGGAAAUCAUUUUACUUUAGGAUUUGAAAUACUUCACUCCAUGCUCUUCUUGACUUUAUUGUUUGUGCUGAGAAGUCUGCUGUAAUUCUGAUAGGUUUUCUGUCUUUUUUCUCUGACAGCUUUUAAUAUUCUAUUCUUAGCUUGGAUUUCUUGGAUGGUGAUUGUUAUAUGUCUGGGUGUAGUUCUAUUUUGGUUAUGACUAUUUGGAAUUCUAUAUGCUUCACUGAUCCUGAUGUUGGUUUCCCAUCUCAUGUUUAGGAAAUUUUUAGCUAUUACUUCUCCAAAUAUCUCCUGAUAUCCUUUAUAUUGUUCCCUUCUUUUUCAUUUAUCCCUAUCAAUCUUAUGUUGCUUUUCUUUGCAUCAUCUUGCAGUUGUUGAAUUGUUAUUUCCUGAUUCCUUGUUAUUUUUAAAAGAUCUUUCCUUUCCUGUUCACUUGCUGCAAUCUUGCCUUUAAGGUCUGAAAUUCUGUCUUCACUUUCAUUGAGGCUCUUUUUACAACUUUCAAUGGAAUUUUUGAUUUCCUGUAUAUCUCUUUGCAUCUGCUUUAUGUAUUGUUUGUUUCUUAUAUUGUUCGUCCAGAGAUUCCAUCUUUUUGUUUAGUUCCUACAGUUUUUUAACUGUGUCUUCUUUAGAUAUGCUCAGCAUCUCCUUCAUUUCUUUCAUCAUUUCUUCUUUUACCUGGGAGAUUAUUUCUAGUUUGAAUUCCUUUAAAGUUUCCUAAAAUUGCUUCUUUAUUUCAGUUGCUAUUAUGUCUGAUAUUUCAGGUGUAUGGCAUAUAUCUUCUUCUAUGUACAUACCUCCUAAGGUUUCUUGUGAUGGAUUGGAGGUUUGAGAUUGUAAUUUGAUGUUUCGUUUUGUCAUUUUCCUGUAUUUCUGUGUUUCAUGUGUUAUUCCAAGGCUUUCCCAGGGUCUGUUGGAAAUCCUCUUUUAUGCCUUCAGCUCCUGGAACUGUGGUUGUCUAGUUCCCCAGAUUGAGAGAGGGUUACUUGGAGUGGUGCAGGCCCGCUCAAGACCUGCUGAGUUGGUCCAGUGCAACAGGAUGCAGCGAAAUUCCCUGUCAUGGGCCAAGUGAGGAUCCCAAACUAGCUGGGCUCAGGGGAUGGUGCGGGGGGAUACUCAUCCCAGGCCAUCCUGUGGAACCGUUGGCGCCCACUUGCUUAGAACUCUAAGUCCGCCAAACAUGGCCAGGAGCUGGGAGGCCGUUGCAGGUCCGCUCAGGAUCUGCCGCACUGAUCCAGUGCAACCUGAAACCACGAAAUUCCCUGUCAGGGGCCAAGGGAGAGUCCCAAGCUAGCUGGGCUCAGGGGAUAGUGCGGGGGGAUUCACAUCCCAGGCAUACUGCCUCUGGAACUGUUGGCGCCUGCUUGCUUAGAACUCUAGAGUCCGCCAAAAAUGACCAGGAGCUGGGAGGCUGUUGCAGGUCCGCUCAGGAUCCGCCGCACUGGUCCAGUGCAACCGGAAACCAGGAAAUUCCCUGUCAGGGGCCAAGGGAGAUUCCCAAGCUAGCUGGGCUCAGGGGAUAGUGCAGGGGAAACUCACUCCAGGCCGCCUAGCCUCUGGAACGGAUGGUACCCGCUUGCUCAGAACUCCAGAAUCCGCCAAGCUUGGCUGGGAGCGGGGAGGCCAUUGCAGGCCUGCUCAAGACCUGCCGCACUGGUCCAGUGCAACUGGGAGCCCGAAAUUCCCUGUCCAGGGCCAAGCGGGGGUCCCAAGCUAGCUGGGCUAGGGGGAUGUUAAGGGAGACACUCACCCGCCCCCCCCCCCGAAACAAUGAUGCCAACUGGUUCAAUACUCCACAGUCCGCCAAGCAUGGCUGGGAGCUGAGAGACCUUUACAGGCCCACUCAGGACCUGCCGCUCUGGUCCAGUGCAACAGGAUGCUGUGAAAUCCCUGUCAGGGGUGGAGCAAGUAUCCCAAACUAGCUGGGCUAGGGGGAUGGUGCGGGGGACACUCACCCCGCUGCCUCUGGAACUGAUGGCACCGCUUGCUUAGAACUCCAGAGUCCACCAAGCAUGGCCGAUAGCGGGGAAGCCUUUGCAGGCCUGCUCAGGACCCGCUGUGCUGGUCCAGUGCAACCAGAAGUCGCAAAAUUUCCUCCUUAUAAGCUCUCUUACAAGUAAAAUUUCCAACCAGAGACAAACUUUUUCCUUGUUUCAUUUGUUUAUUUAGUUAGUCAUCAAAGCAAUUUAACUUCUAUUCUAGAUCCAAUCCUUAUCGAGUACUUUGCUAACAGUGCCUCAGGGGAGUGAAGUAGACUCAGACUCAAAGCAGACUGAGUCCAUGUCAAGGAAAAGAAGGAAAAAUGACAGAAUUCAGCCCUGAGGAGAAGGAUUAACAAAGUAAAAGUUAAGGCUUUAUCCAUUGGCCCAGGAAUUGAGAAAUGGAAUCCUUUCCUAAGAAAGAAAGGGGCUAUAAGAGAAGUAAGCAUAGAAAUCAGGAGCACCGUGGAGAAUUCUAAAUAUGUAGCCUACAUCAGAAUGGAAUGGAGUAGCCUUCUCCAUCUGAAGGCCAGGUACAGUUCCAGGGCGUAUCCCUGAUACAGUCCUUAUCAGACUUGUGUGGCCAUGAGGGAGAUAGAAAGGUCUUUUCUAUACAUGGUCACAUUAUAGAUCUAAAACUUCUAAGGGCUCAGAGUAAAAGUUAUACUCCUCUGGGAAUAUAUAAUCUUAAUUUUUAUACUUUAAAUUUUUUAACUCUCAGUAUAUACCAGUUCUCUCUCACCUCAUGUUUUUUCUUUAUAAGUUUCAAUACUUGUUGUUAUUCUAAUGAUUGAACUCAGGCCCUCAGAUGUGCUAACCAUGUGCUGUAUCGCUGAGCUACACUCGAACUCCUCAGUACUUUUUAUUGAAUGAAUUAAAAUCACAAUAAAACUAACUGAACCACAUAAA